AGUUCAUUCGCUUUCGCAUCGCACUCUUCCAUCUCCCAGACCAACUCUCUCCCCUCGAACUCCUUCCUCUCUCUCAAACCCUUCGCUGCCUCACAGUCUCUCCUCUUCUCCCGCCACUGCUCCUCCGCCGCCGCAGUCUCCUCGGUCGAUACCGUCACUGCCAGUAGCACCGAAGCCCCUGUGCACCACCCAUGACCGGAGUAGGUGGUCUUCGUCGACGGGUUGAAGACCAAGGGCUACUUCAUCAAACCGCCGCCACCUGCGGAGGAUGGCGAGACUGACCGUGUUUAUACUGACGUGAAUCCGUUGAAGGAUGCUCGCCUUAGCUUUGCUCGCGACUGCUUUGAUAUAUUCAAGUGGGGUUGUCUGUUAGUGGGGUGCUACUGCUAGCGUUUUUGUGGGUAUUGAAGGCAGUUCUUGAGGUAUACAAGAUGAUAGAUCAUUUCUUACCAGAGGACUUAUG